AGAUUAUCUUACGUGUUUAAACUUUUCCGGUUCUGAUGAGUUUUCACAUACAGUAAUUAACUGAAUUCCUGAUACCAGAGAUUAUACAGAUUCCAUUUUUCUUGCUACACCGUAAAGUACAGUACCAAGAGUCCGUAAAACUAGUUUUAUUUCUGACAUUUUCGCCGUUAUGUUGUCGCUAACGAUGGUGAUUUCGAUCUUGCUUGUAUGUGCCAAAUCUGAAGUGGCCUUACAUUUUGGCACCACUACAAGCGACUUUAUAAGUUUCAACUACGACAUGGCUCCGUUCCGAGAUUCGUUGUCAAUCUGUACAUGGAUGAAGCGCAUCCAUACCUCUUCGCACCCAAUCGUCUUAAAUUACGCUAGUCGUAAUGAAAUAUUAAUAGGAUCUGCUGGUCAUUACAACAGAAUCUUGGAUGAUAGUGGAUUGGAUAGCUUACAAAGCAAGUUUACAACGCCAAUUGGAACCUGGUUCAAUUAUUGCAUUACUUGGUCGAAACAUUCGCAGACAAUAAAACUCUAUCUGGAUGGUAAUCUCGUUGGUACGGACCAGACUAGUUCGAGAGAACUUUACAUGGGCGGUACAUUGUGGUUUAAUCGUCAUUAUGGCAGUGCUAAUGUCCAUGUUUUCGGAGGACAAUUGUUUGACUUCAACAUUUUCUCUGAGGUCCUUACUUCGGAUGCAAUACGGAGGAUAGCAGAAGGUGGGUUUUGUUUUAACUGGGAAAGAGUUCUCAGAAUCCAGGAUUCUUCGUUGGGAUGAAAUCUUGACAAAAACAAGAAGCGGAUCUAUUGAAGAAGUAGAAGUAGAUUGUUACACUAUAAUGAGAAAGCAGUUUGAGAUCAUGAAAGAACAGCUGGAAACAGUCACCGCUGAACUUAACAGAACUAGGAACAAUCUGGCUACAGUAACCAGUAACCUAAAUAGCACGCAGAGUGAUUUGCUAACAGUAACCGGUCAGUAUAAUACGACUCAGGAGAAACUACUAACUGUUACUGGUAGAUUAAAUACAACGGAGGACGCCUUGCAAACAGCGAUCGGUCAAUAUAAUCUGACUCAGGAGAAACUGGUCAAAGUUACCGGCCGCUUAAAUACAACGGAGGACGCCUUGCAAACAGUGACCGGUCAAUAUAAUCUGACUCAGGAGAAACUGGUCACAGUUACCGGCCGAUUAAAUACAACGGGGGAAGAUUUCCAAUCAUGUACAAAUCGUCUAAACCUGACCGAGACUGAGCUCAAGAGGACAAAAUUGAAUCUAAGCUCUGAAACCACCAGAUGUAACCGGACCGAGGGAAGACUGGAGACGUGCUCGUCAGCACUUACGGACAUCAAAUCUCAACUGGAGGGGACAAGAAAAUGUGAAAAUAUUACUCGGUGGGAUGUAUUUUACACAUCACCUUAUUUCAAUAAGGUGCUUACUGAGGAACUUAUCGAGGAGCUCAAAUCUUCGUGGGAUUUGCUGAAUCAUUUCGUCGGGGUGAACUUCACAGAGCCAGUUGUGGAACAUUUCAAGAAGUAUGAUAAUGACAGAACAGAGAUGUGUGAUACACAGAUCAGCGAUAUUUUGAAUAUGUUGGGCGAACUCGUCGGUAAUAAAGUUAAGAUGACUUUGGGGAUUCUUCAACACUUUAGAGAAAACCACAACGAAGGGCCUUGUGAUGAUUGACACCCUUGCCGAUGAACAUUUGAUCAGCAAUACAAUUCAUACGAUUACUUUUUUCAAAUUACAUCCUAGCCUUAACGUAAUGCUGAUAAGUCGUUUUGUAGGCAUGAACAACCGAAUAUUCAUUUUAUUUUUUGUUGAUCGAAGUGAUCAUGUUUCGGUAUUAUGUGGAAAAAUGCUAUUUUCUUACACAAAAAGUAAUACAAUUUUAUGGAUGAAUAAUUUAACUCACAGCAAGAUGAGUUAAUGAUAUUGUAAUUGAUUAAAAUGACAGGC